UACAGAGGUCUCAAGCGUUGUUCGGAUUCAUUGGGCGUAAAGGGUGCGUAGGCGGUAUCGCAAGUCGGAUGUGAAAUCUUGGGGCUCAACCCCAAAACUGCAUUCGAUACUGCGGUGCUCGAGGGCUGGAGAGGAGACCGGAAUUCACGGUGUAGCAGUGAAAUGCGUAGAUAUCGUGAGGAAGGCCAGUGGCGAAGGCGGGUCUCUGGACAGCUCCUGACGCUGAGGCACGAAGGCCAGGGGAGCAAACGGG
rnacentral:rRNA from 1 species